rnacentral:rRNA from 1 species
UACGGAGGGAGCUAGCGUUAUUCGGAAUUACUGGGCGUAAAGCGCACGUAGGCGGACUCUUAAGUCAGGGGUGAAAUCCUGGAGCUCAACUCCAGAACUGCCUUUGAUACUGGGAGUCUUGAGUCCGGAAGAGGUAAGUGGAACUGCGAGUGUAGAGGUGAAAUUCGUAGAUAUUCGCAAGAACACCAGUGGCGAAGGCGGCUCACUGGCCCGGUACUGACGCUGAGGUGCGAAAGCGUGGGGAGCAAACAGG